rnacentral:rRNA from 1 species
AUUGAACGCUGGCGGCAGGCCUAACACAUGCAAGUCGAGCGGAUGAAGGGAGCUUGCUCCUGGAUUCAGCGGCGGACGGGUGAGUAAUGCCUAGGAAUCUGCCUGGUAGUGGGGGAUAACGUCCGGAAACGGGCGCUAAUACCGCAUACGUCCUGAGGGAGAAAGUGGGGGAUCUUCGGACCUCACGCUAUCAGAUGAGCCUAGGUCGGAUUAGCUAGUUGGUGGGGUAAAGGCCUACCAAGGCGACGAUCCGUAACUGGGCUGAGAGGAUGAUCAGUCACACUGGAACUGAGAGACGGUCCAGACUCCGACGGGAGGCAGCAGUGGGGAAUAUUGGAAAAUGGGCGAAAGCCUGAUCCAGCCAGGCCGCGUGGGUGAAGAAGGUCUGCGGAUUGUAAAGCACUUUAAGUUGGGAGGAAGGGCAGUAAGUUAAUACCUGGCUGUUUUGACGUUACCAACAGAAUAAGCACCGGCGAACUUCGU